rnacentral:rRNA from 1 species
AGUGAACGCUGGCGGUAGGCCUAACACAUGCAAGUCGAACGGCAGCACAGUAAGAGCUUGCUCUUACGGGUGGCGAGUGGCGGACGGUUGAAGAAUACAUCGGAAUCUACUUUUUCGUGGGGGUUAACGUAGGGAAACUUACGCUAAUACCGCAUACGACCUACGGGUGAAAGCAGGGGAUCUUCGGACCUUGCGCGAUUGAAUGAGCCGAUGUCGGAUUAGCUAGUUGGCGGGGUAAAGGCCCACCAAGGCGACGAUCCGUAGCUGGUCUGAGGGGAUGAUCAGCCACACUGGAACUGAGACACGGUCCAGACUCCUACGGGAGGCAGCAGUGGGGAAUAUUGGACAAUGGGCGCAAUCCUGAUCCAGCCAUACCGCGUGGGUGAAGAAGGCCUUCGGGUUGUAAAGCCCUUUUGUUGGGAAAGAAAAGCAGCAGGUUAAUACCCCGCUGUUCUGACGGUACCCAAAGAAUAAGCACCGGCUAACUUCGUG